AUACGGAGGAUGCGAGCGUUAUCCGGAUUUAUUGGGUUUAAAGGGAGCGUAGGCGGGAGCUUAAGUCAGCGGUUAAAUGGUGCGGCUCAACCGUGCCCUGCCGUUGAAACUGGGUUUCUUGAGAGUGCAAGAGGCGGAUGGAAUUCAUGGGGUAGCGGGGAAAUGCUUAGAUAUCAUGAAGAACUCCGAUUGCGAAGGCAGUCCGCUGGGGCACGUCUGACGCUGAUGCUCGAAGGUGCGGGAAUCAAACAGGAUUAGAUACCCUGGUAGUCCGCACGGUAAACGAUGAUUACCCGCUGUCGGCGGCAGACAGUCGGCGGCCAAGCGAAAGCGAUAAGUAAUCCACCUGGGGAGUACGCCGGCAACGGUGAAACUCAAAUGAAUUGACGGGG
rnacentral:rRNA from 1 species